CAUGAAUUGCCUUAUGCACUCAGCCGAGUCCCUCCCUGUGUCUACUUUGGCUUCAAAUUUUCCGAAUUCUGUCAUAGCUAAGGGUGUAUGUUUCCCUGGUUCGGAUGCUCCUGUUGUUAAUGUCAAUUCAUCUAAGUUUUUGCCAAGUGCGGCUAUGGAGAAUGGUGAGGGGUAUGCCCAAACUGUUUUACCUACAGCGGAGCUAGCUGAUAAGGUGGGGGAGAACACGUCG